UGAGUACGAGCUGCUACGGCAGCGAAGUGGGUGAUGUCAUGCUUUCAAGAAAAGCCCUAUACCCGUUAAGGCAUGAUGGCCUGUACCCGAAACCGACACAGGUGGGGUGGUAGAGAAUACCGAGGGGCGCGAGGUAACUCUCUCUAAGGAACUCGGCAAAAUGGCCCCGUAACUUCGGGAGAAGGGGUGCCACCGCAAGGUGGUCGCAGUGAAGAGGCCCAGGCGACUGUUUACCAAAAACACAGGUCUCCGCUAAGUCGCAAGACGAUGUAUGGGGGCUGACGCCUGCCCAGUGCCGGAAGGUUAAGGAAGCUGGUCAGCGUAAGCGAAGCUAGCGACUGAAGCCCCGGUGAACGGCGGCCGUAACGAUAACGGUCCUAAGGUAGCGAAAUUCCUUGUCGGGUAAGUUCCGACCCGCACGAAAGGCGUAACGAUCUGGGCGCUGUCUCGGAGAGAGGCUCGGCGAAAUAGAAUUGUCUGUGAAGAUGCGGACUACGUGCACCCGGACAGAAAGACCCUAUGAAGCUUUACUGUAGCUUGGUAUUGUGCUCGGGCUCGGAAUGCGCAGGAUAGGUGGGAGGCUAUGAACCAUUGCUUGUGGGUGAUGGUGAGCCACUGGUGAGAUACCACUCUUUCCGAGCUAGAGUUCUAACAGCCACCCGUUAUCCGGGGGCUGGACAGUAUCAGGUGGGCAGUUUGACUGGGGCGGUCGCCUCCUAAAAGGUAACGGAGGCGCGCAAAGGUUUGCUCAGGCUGGUUGGAAAUCAGCCGACGAGUGUAAAAGCAGAAGCAAGCUUGACUGUGAGACCUACAAGUCGAACAGGGAGGAAACUCGGCUUUAGUGAUCCGACGGUUCUGCGUGGAAGGGCCGUCGCUCAACGGAUAAAAGUUACUCUAAGGAUAACAGGCUGAUCUCCCCCAAGAGUUCACAUCGACGGGGAGGUUUGGCACCUCGAUGUCGGCUCAUCGCAACCUGGGGCUGAAGUCGGUCCCAAGGGUUGGGCUGUUCGCCCAUUAAAGCGGUACGCGAGCUGGGUUCAGAACGUCGUGAGACAGUUCGGUCCAUAUCCGGUGCAUGCGCAGGAAUAUUGAGAGGAUUUCUCCCUAGUACGAGAGGACCGGGAGGAACGCACCUCUGGUGUACCAGUUAUCGUGCCAACGGUAAACGCUGGGUAGCCAUGUGCGGAGAGGAUAACCGCUGAAAGCAUCUAAGUGGGAAGCCCACCUCAAGAUGAGUAUUCCCAUGGGGUAACCCAGUAAGGUCACGGGAAGAACACCCGUUGAUAGGCUCUACGUGGAAGCGCAGUAAUGUGUGAAGCGGAGGAGUACUAAUAGACCGAGGGCUUGAUC
rnacentral:rRNA from 1 species